rnacentral:rRNA from 1 species
AAGGUACACUCAGGGAAGUCGGCAAAAUAGAUGCGUAAGUUCGCAAGAAGCAUUGGCUCUGAGGGCAAGGCAGAAGCCAACCGGAAGAACAGUGUCCUCUCGCGUGCGGCCGUUUUUCAGUAGUUGUUUUGGUGCUCGACGCCUUAGCACGCUGAUGGCGACCGUCUCGUCGACCGUGAAGGCUACCUUCCCGAGGCGUGCGUUUUUUUGCGUAUGUCUCACUUCUGCGCGGUGGUCGGUUUCUUUCCUUUCACGAGGGGAGUUCGGCCUCCACAAAUUGCCAACUCAGAACUGCUUACGGCGGGGAAUCCAACUGUAUAAUUAAAACAUAGGUUUGUGAUGCAUCCAAGUGGUGUAU